UCCAGACUCCUACGGGAGGCAGCAGUGGGGGAUAUUGCACAAUGGGGGGAACCCUGAUGCAGCGACGCCGCGUGGGUGAAGGAGCGUUUCGGCGCGUAAAGCCCUCUCGGCAGGGAAGAAGGAGGACGGUACCUGACUAAGAAGCCCCGGCUAACUACGUGCCAGCAGCCGCGGUAAUACGUAGGGGGCAAGCGUUAUCCGGAUUUACUGGGUGUAAAGGGGGCGCAGACGGCGAUGCAAGCCAGGAGUGAAAGCCCGGGGCCCAACCCCGGGACUGCUCUUGGAACUGCGUGGCUGGAGUGCAGGAGGGGCAGGCGGAAUUCCUGGUGUAGCGGUGAAAUGCGUAGAUAUCAGGAGGAACGCCGGUGGCGAAGGCGGCCUGCUGGACUGCAACUGACGUUGAGGCCCGAAAGCGUGGGGAGCAAACAGGAUUAGAUACCCCGGUAAAA
rnacentral:rRNA from 1 species